GCCGGUGUGGCGGAAUGGCAGACGCGGCGCACUCAAAAUGCGCUGUCCGUGAGGGCUUGUGGGUUCGAGUCCCACCACCGGUA
rnacentral:tRNA from 8 species